rnacentral:lncRNA from 1 species
CCCAAGUGUUUUCCAAGCAAGUGUCCUUAAUAUUUUCCCCUGUGGUGGUGGUAAGGAUAUAUCUAUAUUUUUUAGUAGAACUGGAACCAAAUAUCACUGAAUCAAAGAAGCCUGCAUUAAUCAAAGCACAUCAAAGAGGUUCCUCAUCAGUUGCCUGGAGCAACAGAAUCUACAGUGUAUCAUCUUUCUUAUGCUAAGCUGGAGGAAUUUAGAGGAAAUAAAUUUGUCUCUUUGCUCUCAAACGAACACAGAAAUAGUAUUUUCAAGGCUUCUUAAAUAGUUCAGUGAAUUGGACUGUUUAGCCAUUGUAAUUUCUGAGUCCCAGACCUACAGUUCUGGGGAAUGUUUUUCAAAUGAAAAUCAAUCAAACCAAAGUUUAAAACUAAAUACGUGAGGGAUUUGCCCCUCUUGACAAAGUUACAUAGGUGCUUCCCACUCUUAUGUUGUCUCUUUCUUUACUCUCUUCCUAGGAUAUUAAAAUGGUACCCCUGUGACUCCUCGUUGCCUCACUAGAGAUGCAUAAUAUUCUUAGCUAACAGAAGGAGGAAACAUGUCAGCUAAACAAAGGGGAUAAAUAUGGCCUUUUGAAGAGCAGCCAUGGCAGAGUGCUAUAUAGGACUAUGGAGAAUUAUCAACAGGCUUUUGCUUUAGCAAAUGUCAUGCUACCAGAAGAAUGGUGCAGUUUGCGGUGGCAUCCAGCCAGUACCCUCUCAUGAGGAAGAAUCAAUUUGCAAGGUAUUGAGUAAAGCCGCGGGCUCUGCCUUGGAGAGGUGACCACCCAUGAAAACAACUGACAUGAAAAGACCGCAAGGUAUGACAGUGAAUACUUAUUAAAAGCGUACCUUUGCUGCAAAUGAGCACGUGGAAACACUUUGGCAACAGGGACAGUUAUAAAGCCUCUGAAAUUAAGUUUGGUAGAAG